rnacentral:lncRNA from 1 species
CAUGAGUUAGAAAAUAAAUAUAAGAUAGCAAGCAUUCCAACAAACAAAUUUGAAUCGAUUUUUAAAAAAAAAUAAAUUUGAAUUUCCUCAAAAAUAAGAAAAAGAUAUAUCAUUAAAAUAAACUUAUCAAUAAAAUUACGAAUAGCAACAAUUCUCCUAACAUCCAUCAUUUCCUCUGGUACCAGCCAUCUCCAUAUUCUCCCUUUUUAAAAAAAUAUUUAUUGAUUUUGCCGCAAAAGAUGGCAUGUGAAUGUAUGGAAGGAAUUAUGGGCCAACUCAACGUGACGUGACAAUAAUAAUAAUUAAAAUGGCC